AACUUUCAGCAACGGAUCUCUUGGCUCUCGCAUCGAUGAAGAACGCAGCGAAAUGCGAUAAGUAAUGUGAAUUGCAGAAUUCAGUGAAUCAUCGAAUCUUUGAACGCAUCUAGCGCUCCUUGGUAUUCCGAGGAGCAUGCCUGUUUGAGUGUCA
rnacentral:rRNA from 1 species